CAGAUAUGGAAGAAAGAGAUCUCGUGAAUAUUUUUGCUAGUCUCAGUCUAAAGCCUUCGAAUCUUCCUGCUUGAGAUGCUCCUUGGAAAGUCUAAAGCACAAGAUGCCGAGGAUAGACUCGAAACGGUUGCCUCUCAGGCUCAAAAGAUGGCUGACAUUGUUACAGAACAAUGGAUUCAAAUUCAGCGGCUUAAGCAGGCUCUUCA